rnacentral:tRNA from 1 species
GCCUAGUUAGCUUGGUUGGUAGCGCGUCUGCCUUGUAAGCGCUAGGCCGCGGGUUCGAUUCCCGCCCGGAGCA